AUGGUCAUGAUGCUAAAGAACAUUCCACGACGUCUCAGACAACGUCAAGGAGGGGGAACUCAGGGCCCAGUGGUUAGAGAGUGGACUCCUAACCCUAGGAGCAGGGCACCGAACCCCCAGCUGCACCCUGGGCACCGCAGCAUAAAUGGUUGCCCACUGCUCCGGGCGUGCGUUCACGGUGUGUGCGCGUUCACUGCCGUAUGUGCACUUGGAUGGGUUAAAUGCAGAGCUGCUUCCACAGGAGCCUUUUCCAUAUCUCCCCAUUGCCGCAGCAGUGCCUGCUCCCGCAGGAGCCUUUUCCGUAUCUCCUCACUGCCGCAGCAGUGUCUGCUCCCGCAGGAGCCCCUUUCGUAUCUCCUCACUGCCGCAGCAGUGUCUGCUCCCGCAGGAGCCCCUUUCGUAUCUCCUCACUGCCACAGCAGUGUCUGCUCCCGCAGGAGCCCCUUUUGUAUCUCCUCACUGCCACAGCAGUGUCUGCUCCCGCAGGAGCCUUUUCUGUACCUCCCCCAGAUAUAAAAAAAAAAAAAAAAAAAAAAAGUCAUCAUGUUAAGCCAUUUCACUGAAAUAAGCUGUUCAGUUUUCACAAUAAGCGACGUGAAUUUCAACAAGGGUUUAUGAUCAGCUUUGAUGCCCCACAUUCCCAGUCGCAUUAGCCUCUGCACAAUACGCCGUUUUCAAACAUAAUAAAAAAUUUUAAUUUAAAAGUCUCUCAGCGGACGCAGUAAAUAUUUAUCCGUUUCCACUGCCCGUCCAGCAAGCACCAGUCUCUCAGCGGACGCAGUAAAUAUUUAUUUGUUUCCAAUGUCCGUCCAGCGAGCACCAGUCUCUCAACGGACGCAGUAAGUAUUUAUUUGUUUCCACUGUCCGUCCAGCGAGCACCAGUCUCUCAGCGGACGCAGUAAAUAUUUAUUUGUUUCCACUGCCCGUCCAGCGAGCACGAGUCUCUCAGCGGACGCAGUAAAUAUUUAUUUGUUUCCACUGUCCGUCCAGCGAGCACCAGUCUCUCAGCAGACGCAGUAAAUAUUUAUCCGUUUCCACUGUCCGUCCAGCGAGCACCAGUCUCUCAGCGGACGCAGUAAAUAUUUAUCCGUUUCCACUGUCCGUCCAGCGAGCACGAGUCUCUCAGCGGACGCAGUAAAUAUUUAUCCGUUUCCACUGUCCGUCCAGCGAGCACCAGUCUCUCAGAGGACGCAGUAAAUAUUUAUCCGUUUCCACUGUCCGUCCAGCGAGCACGAGUCUCUCAACGGACGCAGUAAAUAUUUAUUUGUUUCCACUGCCCGUCCAGUGAGCACGAGUCUCUCAGCGGACGCAGUAAAUAUUUAUCCGUUUCCACUGUCCGUCCAGCGAGAACGAGUCUCUCAGCGGACGCAGUAAAUAUUUAUUCGUUUCCACUGCCCGUCCAGCGAGCACCAGUCUCUCAGCGGACGCAGUAAAUAUUUAUCCGUUUCCACUGUCCGUCCAGCGAGCACCAGUCUCUCAGCGGACACAGUAAAUAUUUAUCCGUUUCCACUGCCCGUCCAGCGAGCACCAGUCUCUCAGCGGACGCAGUAAAUAUUUAUCCGUUUCCACUGCCCGUCCAGCGAGCACCAGUCUCUCAGCGGACGCAGUAAAUAUUUAUUCGUUUCCACUGCCCGUCCAGCGAGCACCAGUCUCUCAGCGGACGCAGUAAAUAUUUAUUUGUUUCCACUGUCCGUCCAGCGAGCACCAGUCUCUCAGCGGACGCAGUAAAUAUUUAUCCGUUUCCACUGUCCGUCCAGCGAGCACCAGUCUGUCAGCGGACGCAGUAAAUAUUUAUUUGUUUCCACUGCCCGUACAGCGAGCACGAGUCUCUCAGCGGACGCAGUAAAUAUUUAUCCGUUUCCACUGUCCGUCCAGCGAGCACGAGUCUCUCAACGGACACAGUAAAUAUUUAUUUGUUUCCACUGUCCGUCCAGCGAGCACCAGUCUCUCAGCGGACGCAGUAAGUCCAUCCAGCAAGCACUAGUCUCUCAGCGGACGCAGUAAAUAUUUAUCCGUUCCACUGUCCGUCCAGCGAGCACUAGUAUAUUUAUCCGUUUCCACUGUCCGUCCAGCGAGCACCAGUCUCUCAGAGGACGCAGUAAAUAUUUAUCCGUUUCCACUUUCCGUCCAGUGAGCAUGAGUCUCUCAGCGGACGCAGUAAAUAUUUAUUUGUUUCCACUGUCCGUCCAGCGAGCACCAGUCUCUCAGCGGACGCAGUAAAUAUUUAUUCGUUUCCACUGUCUGUCCAGCGAGCAUGAGUCUCUCAGCGGACGCAGUAAAUAUUUAUUCGUUUCCACUGUCCGUCCAGCGAGCAUGAGUCUCUCAGCGGACGCAGUAAAUAUUUAUUCGUUUCCACUGUCCGUCCAGCGAGCAUGAGUCUCUCAGCGGACGCAGUAAAUAUUUAUUCGUUUCCACUGUCCGUCCAGCGAGCACGAGUCUCUCAGCGGACGCAGUAAAUAUUUAUUUGUUUCCAAUGUCCGUCCAGCGAGCACCAGUCUCUCAGCGGACGCAGUAAAUAUUUAUUCAUUCCACUGUCCGUCCAGCGAGCCUCAGUCUCCCAGCGGACCCAGUAAAUACCUAUUUGUCUCCUCUAUCAGUCCGCGAGCACUAGUCUCACAGCGGACUCAAUAACAUCUAUUUUUCCACUGUUUGUCCAGCGAGCACUAGUCUCCCAGCGGACGCAGAAAUAUCCAUUGAUUUCCCUGUCCAUCCAGCGAGCGCUAGUCUCUCAGCGGAUGCAGUAAUUAUCUAAUUCCUUCGACCUGUCCAUUGGGCCUCAGUCUCCAAGGGGACACUGUAAAUACAUAUUUUUUCCUCUGCCUGUCCAGCGAGCACUAGUCUCUCAGCGGACGCAGGGACAUAAUUCGUCUCCCAUAUCUGUCCAGCGAGCCUCAGUCUCCCAGCGGACGCAGUAAUAUCUAUUGGUUUCCUCUGUCUGUCCAACGAGCACUAGUGUCCCAGCGGACGCAGUAAAUACCUAUUCAUUCCUCUACCCGUCCAGCGAGCCUCAGUCUCCCAGUGGACGCAGUAUGCAUCCAUCUCUUUCUGUUCUUCAUCCAGCGAGCCAGUCUUCCAGCGGAUGCAGGAAUAUAAUUUGUUUCCUCUAUCUGUCAUUACGCAUCUAGUCAAUAUAUCAUUACACCUCGCAGGCAGACGGUGGAGCCCGUCUUCCCGACAUCGUAACCGCUUCUUCCUCAACUAUUAACCAACAGGACCUGCCUGCUCCUCUACUUCUGCCAGAGGCAAUGCGAGAUCUCCUGGUCAAACGACCAUACUUCUAAAAACGUCAGCCCGCCAAAUCUCUGCGUUUUGGGGGGUUCGUAGUCUGGCGGCUGUCCUUUUGCUCUCUUGUUUUUGGGGGAGUACUCUGGGUUCGGGCCACAUCCCGAGCUCGGAGCCCUCCACCCGGACAGCACGCCAAAUACGCAUAAACUUACGGUAUUAAUAUACGUAGAUGUGAACUCGUGAAAUGCUGUUUUAUAACAAAGUUCGGGAGGAACAGUCGCAGUUCAUUAACCUGAUUAACACAAGUGGAGACCAAUCAGUAAUCAACUCAUGACAAGGUAUAAAUAACAGCAGAACCUAUCUCUGUUCAUUGACAGUUUUCAGCAUCCCUCCUCCACCCCAUUUCUCCUCACUUAUAGAUCCAUCUACUCUUACCACAACGGGGGGGGGAGUACUCUGGGUUCGGGCCACAUCCCGAGCUCGGAGCCCUCCACCCGGACAGCACGCCAAAUACGCAUAAACUUACGGUAUUAAUAUACGUAGAUGUGAACUCGUGAAACAAACACGAUCAGUUUCACCAGGGAUGAGCUGCUGAACAUUCGGCAGAACACACCACAAGAU
rnacentral:lncRNA from 1 species